rnacentral:lncRNA from 1 species
CAGAGUGGCUAGUGCCCACUGUCUGUAAGCUCUCGGAAUCUGUCGUCUUCAACAUAUUUUAUAAUUUGUAAAGAGAGCCUCAAACUCAGUGAGCAUCUCAUUGUCGACCUCAGUCAUCAAAGUCGUUGUAAAGGCAUUUACUAAGGAAGCCAACGUAUUCAGCUUCACUGUUACAAUUUUCUUAUUUUUGUUGGUUAACUUCUUAAAAGACUGUGGAUACUUAUCCAUGAUGAGAUCAAGCAUGCUUACAAACUCAGAGUUAACCUCAUGGCCCUACCAUAAGACAAAAUUACUUUUUUCUCCAGUUUUUGCCCGAUCAUUGCUAUUCCCCGAAAUCUGAGCUUCAAUUGGCGAAACCUUGCCAGCAUCUGCUGCACAAUUCUCCACCUACACAAUUGAAACCCUUUUUGCCAAGGGCUCUUCUAGCACCCCAUUUUGUGUUACUAAGGAAACAGCUGGUGCGGUUUGACUAGUCAGAUGAUCCUGAAAGAAAUUUAAGAUCCAGGUGAAGAAUAGCGAUAUAAACAAUAAUUUCAAAGGCAUUGGGGAAUAAUAUCCAUCUCCAAGCUUACACUCCGAAGAUUUAUCCUAAACAUAUAUUAUAAUUAAUUAAGGAUAAUGCAUGGCUGGCACAAUUUAUCACUAAGCACCAACAGAGUGGAGCAGACAAUUGAUUUUCAUCAUUCCCCUGUCAAAAAAUCUGUAAUUUAUAGCAGUUCUACAUAGUUCAAAACUUGAAUGGCACUCAAAUUGUACUUUGCUAAAAUCACAUGACAAAUUAUAAUGCACCAAUUAAUUGGAGACUGGAGAUCUCAUCAAGUACCAUAGGAAAUGUUUUGACGAUGAUGGCACUUGGAGAACCGCUGAGCAAUUACCAUCUGACGUGUCUAGAUAUACUUGAUUCUUCAUAUCCAUGUGGUAGCUUCAAAUACCUUAAGGAAUGAAAUGGACAGCGCACAUGUAGAAGAACAUGGGAGAUUUGGGAUAGUGCCUAUAAUAAUUCAAACAAUAUCAAGUAGAAUAUUAAAUAUUUGUCAAAUGACUUUUCUAAUAUGAGCCAAUAUCAAAAUG